AUGUACUCACCUACUCAUUCUUUUCCUUUCCAAGAAUCAUCACCCUGCCAAUUCCAAAACCCAUUUCGCGUGCGUGUUGUACUUACACUGAACGGAAAUUGGUGAAAGAAUUAAUUUCAAAAGAAUUUCCCAUUACAUAGAUUAGGAAUUUAGGGCAAUCUUCUUUCUCCCCAUUUCUCUAUCCUUUUCCAAAUCUCUCCGCUGUUGAUAAAGUAAUUUUAGAAACUGUGUGGGUUUGAAGAUAGUAGAACUUUUUGUUCCAUUCAUUUGUUUUCGAUUCGAAGUUACCCUAAGCAAUUGCGCUGAUGCUAUGGAAAGACAAGGUCAGUUCUCCCUCUCCCUCUGUGUGUGUGUGUGUGUGUCAUCACCGAGCUAUGUAGCCGCCGCGACCGUGAUCAUCAUUCAGGACGGCAAAAGAUUGAAUUUUGAGGAACUAAAUCGGUGCAAAUGAAACGCAUACAAAGGAUUUUUGUGGCUAACUGGGGAGGACGUAUUUUAAUAUAGGAAUCUUUGACUACCAUUUUCUGUAACAAAUGUGGUUGGCCAAUUGUAGAAUUUGGAGUUGAGAAUAGUGGCUGCUAAAUGAGUAGAGACAUGGUUGAUGUUGCAGAAGAAGCACAAAAUAGAGAUGGAGCUAUUGUUGAUAACCCGAAAGGGGAUGGCAUUGUUAUUGAUGGGGAUACAGAUUUGGAGCCACGUAAUGGUAUUGAGUUCGAGUCACAUGAGUCUGCAUACUCAUUUUAUCAAGAAUAUGCCAAGUCUAUGGGAUUUACAACAUCAAUAAAAAACAGCCGUCGCUCGAAGAAAUCAAAAGAGUUUAUAGAUGCCAAAUUUGCGUGUUCCAGGUAUGGAGUUACACCAGAAUCAGAUGGUGGUAGCGGUAGACGGCCGGGUGUGAAAAAGACAGACUGCAAAGCCAGCAUGCAUGUGAAGAAACGUAAAGAUGGAAAAUGGUAUAUUCAUGAAUUCAUAAAGGAGCAUAAUCACGAGCUUUUGCCAGCCUUAGCAUACCAUUUUCGGAUUCAUAGGAAUGUAAAAUUAGCUGAAAAGAAUAAUAUUGACAUUGUGCAUGCUGUUAGUGAGCGGACAAGAAAGAUGUAUGUGGAGAUGUCUAGACAAUCUGCUGGGUAUCAAAAUCCACUUUUGUCUCUCUCUGAUAACAAAAAUCUUUGUAAUCUUAAGGAUGACGUAAAUUCUCAAUUUGAUAAAGGGAGGUACUUGGCUCUAGAGGAGGGGGAUGCGCAAGUUAUGCUUGGCUAUUUCAUGCACGUCCAGAAGGAGAAUCCCCAUUUCUUCUAUGCGAUAGAUUUAAAUGAAGACCAACGGCUAAGAAAUUUGUUCUGGGUUGAUGCUAAAAGUAGGAGUGACUACAUCAGCUUCAAUGAUGUUGUUUUCUUUGACACUAGUUAUAUUAAAAGCAACGACAAGAUGCCAUUUGCUCCUUUUGUUGGGGUGAACAAUCACUAUCAGUCCAUGUUACUGGGGUGUGCAUUGAUCGCAGAUGAGACUAAAUCAACAUUUUCUUGGGUAAUGAAGACAUGGCUUCGAGCCAUGGGUGGACAAGGUCCCAAGGUAAUAAUAACCGAUCAAGAUAAGGCCUUAAAGGGAGCUGUUGAAGAAAUUUUCCCAAAUGCACGUCAUUGCUUCUCUCUUUGGCAUGUCUUGGAAAAGAUCCCUGAAGCUCUUUCUCAUGUAAUCAGACGGCAUGAGAAUUUUGUUAGAAAGUUCAACAAGUGCAUUUUUAAGUCGUGGACUGAUGAACAGUUUGACAUGAAAUGGUGGAAGAUGGUAAGUAGAUUUGAACUUCAGGAAGAUAGUUGGAUUCAUUCCUUGUAUGAGGAUCGGAAAAAAUGGGUGCCUAUCUUCAUGAGGGAGACAUUUUUAGCUGGAAUGUCAAGAACUCAGCGUGCUGAAAGUGUUAACUCUUUCUUUGACAAAUACAUUCACAAAAAAAUUAGUCUGAAAGAGUUUGUAAAGCAAUACGGGACGAUUCUCCAGAAUAGGUACGAAGAGGAAGCCAUAGCUGAUUUUGAUACAUGCCAUAAACAACCUGCAUUAAAAUCUCCUUCACCCUGGGAGAAACAAAUGUCAACAGAAUACACGCAUGCAAUAUUCAAGAAAUUCCAAGUUGAGGUUUUGGGUGUAGUUGGUUGCCAUCCUAGGAAAGAGAGUGAAGAUGGAACAAGCGUUACAUUCACAGUUGAUGACUGUGAAAAGGAUGAAAAUUUUAUGGUGACAUGGAAUGAGGCAAAAUCAGAUGUUUUUUGUUCAUGUCUUCUGUUCGAAUACAGAGGUUUUCUUUGCAGACAUGCAAUGAUUGUUCUCCAAAUUUGUGGUCUUUCAAGCAUACCAUCUCACUAUAUUCUGAAGAGGUGGACUAAAGAUGCAAAGACCAGGCAAUCAAUGGUUGAAGGAACAGAACGUGUACAAACUAGAGUGCAACGGUACAACGAUUUAUGCAAGCGAGCCAUUGAACUGGGUGAGGAAGGGUCAUUAUCUGAAGAGGGUUACAAUAUUGCAUUUCGUGCAGUAGUUGAAGCUCUAAAGAACUGUGUGAAUGUUAAUAAUGUUAAAAGUGCUGCAGAAUCUAGCAGUACUGCACUCUGUCUCCGUGACAUUGAAGAAGAGAAUCAACGAAGCCUUGCUGUUAAAACGAGUAAGAAAAGGACUCCAACAAAGAAAAGAAAGGUACAAGCGGAGCCCGGAGGUAUACUUGUUGAGCCACAGGACAGCUUGCAGCACAUGGAGAACCUAAGCUCAGAUGGACUAAGCCUUAACGGCUAUUAUGGUGCUCAGCAGAAUAUGCAAGGACUGCUACAAUUGAACUUAAUGGAACCACCGCAUGAUGCUUAUUAUGUCAGUCCAGAGAGCAUGCCAGGCCUGGUUUGUCUUGAUGAACUCUUGACGAUCUAAAAAUAUUCAAACGGGAACUUUAUGUAUUUCUGUAAUUCUUAAAAUGGUUUUGUAGGGACAAAUGGCAUCCAGCCAUGGUGGUUUUUUUGGGACUCAGCAAAGCAUGCAUGGACUGGGGCAUUUGGAUUUCAGGCCACAAACCAGUUUCAGUUACAACUUGCAGGAUGACCCCAAUUUGAGAUCAAGUCAUUUGCAUGGCAAUUCCUCAAGACAUGCAUAAAAAGAUCCAAUCGUGAUGGUGGAAGUAGUAGCACUCCACCUAUAUAAUUUUUUUUGGUAAACAGUAGCACUCCCUAUAUAAUGAAGCUUCAAGCUGGCUUAUAUUGCACCUGGGCAUCGUGUGGUAAUCCGAGACGUUGAUCCACGAAAAUGGUUCACCGAUUCACCUGAUGUUUACUUUGUAACAUGAAUGAUCGGUACUUUUUUUACACUGUACUGUUAUUGUAAUCCUCAAAGUGGGAAGAAAAAAAAAGGGAAUGCUGGCCCUUCCUCAUCAUUGAGUAACUUUGUGGGAUGACAAUUUGGCUGCAGGAGUAGUAGACGACGCGAAGUUGCUGACAAGAAUUUUAGUUACUUACGCAGGUGCUGAAACUGAUUUGAAGAGUGUAUAGUCUUUCUCCAUGAAUCAGAAGUGGUAGAUUACAAGUUAUGAAAAUUUGUUUCGCAUAA